CCUACGGGUGGCAGCAGUGAGGAAUAUUGGUCAAUGGACGCAAGUCUGAACCAGCCAUGCCGCGUGCAGGAAGACGGCUCUAUGAGUUGUAAACUGCUUUUGUACGAGGGUAAACGCACAUACGCGUAUCAGUCUGUAAGUAUCGUACUAAUAAGGAUCGGCUAACUCCGUGCCAGCCGCCGCGGUAAUACGGAGGAUUCAAGCGUUAUCCGGAUUUAUUGGGUUUAAAGGGUGCGUAGGCGGUCGGAUAAGUUAGUGGUGAAAUCCCGAGGCUCAACUUCGGAAUUGCUGCUGAUACUUUUAGGCGAGAGAUGAGUAGAGGUAGGCGGAAUGUAUGGUGUAGCGGUGAAAUGCUUAGAGAUCAGACAGAACACCGAUUGCGAAGGCAGCUUACCGGGCUACUUCUGACGUUGAGGCACGAAAGCGUGGGGAGCAAACAGGAUUAGAUACCCGUGUAGUC
rnacentral:rRNA from 1 species